UUGGAUGGAAAGAUGGGGGGGGGGGGGUGGAACUCGCGCCAGCCAAAAGAUUGAUGAAACAGGGGAAACGUGUGAGAGUUGUGAUGGCGGCUGGCGUCUGGCGGUUGAUGGCGGUGGUUCUUUUGAGAAGUGCAUCAGAUUGAUGAAA
ensembl:ncRNA T24D5.9 ncRNA